rnacentral:sRNA from 1 species
UACAUGUAGUUGCUGUCUCCGAUCCAUGA